rnacentral:rRNA from 1 species
UACAGAGGGGGCAAGCGUUGUUCGGAAUUACUGGGCGUAAAGGGCGCGUAGGCGGCCCGUCAAGUCCCGUGUGAAAGCCCCCGGCUCAACCGGGGAACUGCACGGGAAACUAGCAGGCUUGAGUUCGGGAGAGGGAAGCGGAAUUUCGGGUGUAGCGGUGAAAUGCGCAGAUAUCCGAAGGAACACCGGUGGCGAAGGCGGCUUCCUGGACCGACACUGACGCUGAGGCGCGAAAGCUAGGGGAGCAAACGGG